rnacentral:rRNA from 1 species
CCCUUAGAUGUUCUGGGCUGCACGCGCGCUACACUGAAGCGUUCAACGAGUAUUCACCUUGCCCGGGAGGGUUGGGUAAUCUUUUGAAAACGCUUCGUGAUGGGGAUAGAUUAUUGCAAUUAUUAAUCUUCAACGAGGAAUUCCUAGUAAGCGCGAGUCAUCAGCUCGUGCUGAUUACGUCCCUGCCCUUUGUACACACCGCCCGUCGCUCCUACCGAUUGAAUGGUCCGGUGAAAAUUUCGGAUAGUGGCGAUGCUGGCGGUUCGCCGCCGGCGCUGCCGCUAGAAGAUCUUUAAACCUUAUCAUUUAGAGGAAGGAGAAGUCGUAACA